CCUACGGGGCUGCAGUGAGGAAUAUUGGUCAAUGGGCGGAAGCCUGAACCAGCCAAGUAGCGUGCGGGAUGAAGGCCCUACGGGUCGUAAACCGCCUUUGCACGGGGAUAACACCCUCCACUUGUGGAGGUCUGCAGGUACCGUGUGACUAAGGGCCGGCUAAUUCCGGGCCAGCAGCCGCGGUAAUACGGAAGGCCCGAGCGUUAUCCGAAUUCAUUGGGCUUAAAGGGAGCGUAGGCGGGCGUUCAAGUAAGCGGUAAAAUCGCGCGGCUAAACCGCGCCCCGCAGUUGAAACUGGAAGCCUUGAGUGCACAACAGGCGGGCGGAAUUCGAGGUGUAGCGGUGAAAUGCGUAGAUA
rnacentral:rRNA from 1 species